rnacentral:rRNA from 1 species
GGAAUGGGAAUAUAAUUAUAAUUUUUUCAUAGUUAAUAUUAAUUUAUAUUUUUAUAUAAUUUUAUAUAGUUUAUUAUAUUAUAAACGACUAUGUAAAAACUAAUUAGUUUUUAUUAAUUCAUUUGAGUAACAUCUCAAAAGUCAUAGCAAGGUAGCUUGUACUGGAAA